rnacentral:rRNA from 1 species
UAGCACAAGUAAUUGUCUUUUAAUUGUAGAAGUGAAUGAAAGGCACCACGAGGAUUAAGCUGUCUCCUUUCUCCAAUCAAUGAAACUAAUCUUCUCGUGAAAAAGCGAGAAUAACCCCAUAAGACGAAAAGACCCUAUGGAGCUUUAAACAACUAACACCUGCUCACAAACUACCCCGAGCAUCCUGAUUACAAGUUUUUGGUUGGGGCGACCACGGAGUACAACACACCCCCCGCGUUGAAAACCGUAAAUAAAUAAGCGACAGCUUUAUGAAUCAACAAAUUGACACAAUUGACCCAAUAUCUUGAUCAACGAACCCAGUUACCCUAGGGAUAACAGCGCCAUCCGCUUCAAGAGCAC